CUGCAGCAAUGAUGAUGAUGACACUGUCACCCUUCCUGAUUAAGUACUGAGGGUUUUUUCAGUCACUACCUCAUCUGAGACUGCCA